rnacentral:rRNA from 1 species
AAAACGACUCUCGGCAACGGAUAUCUUGGCUCACGCAUCGAUGAAGAACGUAGCAAAAUGCGAUACUUGGUGUGAAUUGCAGAAUCCCGUGAACCAUCGAGUUUUUGAACGCAAGUUGCGCCCGAAGCCAUCUGGUUGAGGGCACGUCUGCCUGGGCGUCACGC